rnacentral:lncRNA from 1 species
GUGUGACCCUCUAGGCCCAAUAUCGAGCUGGCCGUGAGUCAUACCUGUCAGAACUCCUUCUGACUGAGUGAAUUAUUAUCUCUGUAAUAAUUCACUUGACUCAUCGACUACGGACGUACUAGGCCACUACGCCGUAGUCCCCAGACGAUACAGGGGAAUCCAAUCCAUUGGACCUGUCUGUCCUCAGUUACCAUGUACCUAUA